GUUGGCCGGGUCACCGGACACAUUUUUAAAACUAGAUACCCCAAUGAUUAUUGUGGUCAAGUUGGGUUUAAUUUGGCCCAGUAUUUUCAGAGGAGAAUAUUUUUUGUAAGAAUUAACGACUACAGACGACAACGACGGACGCCAAGUGAUGAGAAAAGCUCACUUGGCCCUUCAGGCCAGGUGAGCUAAAAAAGAGUACUUAACUUAUAUUACCUUAUUAUAACUUAUAAUGAUAACUUUCAUUGAUAAAAUGUAUGUCUGUAUAAAUGACUUGUAUAUCAAUAGCAACAAAAAGUAUAUUUUCAUACAUUUAAUUUUUUUUUUAAACUUAUUCAAACUUUUGAGUGAAAAUGAUAAAUUUUGUGCAAAUUGAUUAUGUAUGAGAUGAAGAACAGCAAUAAAAGCACUGUUCCUUUUUGUUUGUUUAUUUAUGCUGUC
rnacentral:lncRNA from 1 species